AAAGAACGUCGCCGGAGAAUGCGAGGGUGUUUUCACCAGCAUGGUUUCAUGUGGUAGUCGCACCGGGGGUUCUUUCUUUU
rnacentral:sRNA from 12 species